AAGGGAUCUGUUGCGCCACAGGGGUCUCCAGGGCCCUCGCAGGUUGGGGUGGUCUGAGCUAGUCUGAAGGAGGACAGUCAGCUGACUUCUCCUUUAUCUCUCUUUCCCAGGAUAGCAGGUUCCCUUGGUGUAUUACAGUUUCUGAAGUGUUGAUUCCCUUUUCAAUUGAUUCCACAGAUGACAGUCCUGACGUUUAAAAAAUUGCCAGAUAACCUUUAAUUUUUUUUUUUUUAACAGAACACAAACUUAAGCCAGAUUGCCUAGGAUUGAACCUUGGCCUCUCACUUCCUAGACGAGUGGCCUUGGCUAGUUAACCACCUUCGUGAGCCUCAGUUUUGUCAUCUGUAAAAUGGGAGUCAUAAGUGUCUACCUCACAGAGCUGUGAUUGAAAGGAUAAAUAGCACCUUGCACAUAGCGGUGUAGAAGUGCUUGUUAUUGUUAAUAUUUUAUUUACCUUCACGCAGGUAACAGCCACAACAUCUGCCCACUCUUCCCCACACCUUACUGUCCCUUGAAAUGUUUCCCAUUUUACUAUAGUAUGCAUUUUUUGGCUUCUUCCCUUUAGGGAAAUGAGUAUGUGAUAGUAAAGCGUGUCUUGGUUUAUGUCCUAGGAGUCAGAAGCUAAGAGACUCCUUUUUGUGCUUGUACAUUUGUCUUAACUGAAAAUAACCCAAGGAUAAGGAAACAAAUAGCUUCCUGAAAUUACUCGGAUUGCGGGGGUGAGGGGUGAGGGCUGGGGGGUGGUGAUUCUGUCUUCAUAGGAUGGCAGCAAAGGCCAAAGUCUUAUUUGAGUUAUUACCAUUAUUAUUCACCACACUUGCCAUCUUAUUUCAAGCCUACAGUGGCGGAAGUGGAGUAAGACAUCAUGUUGCCUCAAGUUUAAUUGGAAAUCGCGUGCCUUGUGAAGAAUGGACACUCAGUAGAUGCUUAUUGAUGAACCUGUUGGUUGAGGAUAACUCGCUAACUUUUCUGAGCUUUGUUGGAAAAACUGUGAGUACCUAUGUUGGGUAGAAAUUGGAAGACAGCCCCUAGCAUUUUACAUCAUCCUUGGAGCUUUAUUUAUAGUCAUUAAAUGCAGAAGACUCCCCAGUUCAUGAAUUUAUUGUGCUCAACAGGACAACUGCUGAGGUCUAGUGCAUGUGUGGCACAAGAAAAUGUUUAUCAAGCCUCAUAUGUCAAAUUAACGAACUACAUAAGAAACAGAAAUGAAGAUUGUUUUCUCAUCACUUGUCAAUACAUUUUUAAAGGAUACUGCGAUUACAUAGAAAUAAUUUUAUUUUAUUUAUUUAUUUAUUUUGAGACGGAGUUUCGCUGUUGUCGCCCAGGCUGGAGUGCAAUGGCACGAUAUCGGCUCACUGCAACCUCCGCCUCCCAGGUUCAAGCAAUUCUCCUGCCUCAGCCUCCCAAGUAGCUGGAAUUACAGGCACCAGCCACCACGCCUGGCUAAUUUUUAUAUUUUUAGUAGAGAUGGGGUUUCACCACGUUGGCUAGGCUGGUCUCAAACUCCUGACCUCAGGUGAUCUGCCCGCCUCAGCCUCCCAAAGUGCUGGGAUUAUAGGUGUGAGCCACCGCACCCAGCCAUGUAAAAAUAAUUUUAAAGGCUUGAUUUUCUGGAACGUAAAGUAAGAAGAGGUAUAUUUCACAGCCUGUAUAUCAAUGUCAAAUGGAAAUGUGGAGAAUUGAAUUGGAUUGAAUUAUUUUGGGAAUUUGCACCAAACAUCCCUGUUGGUUUCUUCAAAAUGACAAAAACUGUAAGGAAAGUGAGAAAUGACAAGGUAAAUAGAAUAAGAUAAUACAAAAAUGUUACAAGUAAUGUCAAUACAUUUAACUGCAUACAUGAGAAAAUAUUUAAAGGUUGAUUAGUGUAACAUGAGUUUGCUCUAUUAAUUGAGAAAGUUCAGUUCUGUAGUAGAGCACAGAAUGAGGUGGAUUAAUCCCAUAGGAUGUGCUAAGCACAGAUAAUGAGUAAGCGAGUAGCUUGUGAGACAUAGGUAGAAUUCAUAAUAUACUAAAUAUAGACUGAUAUAUGUACUAUAUUAUUAUAUUUACCAUAUUACUGUAUUAUUGUAUUUAUUAUAUUUACUAUAUUAAAUAUAUUUACUAUAUUACUAUAUUAUUUAUAGAUGGAAAGGGAUGGAAAGAACCAGCCACUUAUACCAGCCACUUAUGGUCCUACUCUGGGCCCACAUGUGCUCUACCUAAGAAAUCCUUAUAGUACCCAUAGCUUUUUGCAGGCUGAUUGACAAGUUAUGGCUGUGGCCAGGCGUACUUGUCACUGUCUCUCUUUAAUAGAGCAAGUGUGUAUCAUUGGCCCCAAGCACCUUCUGUCUGUUGACCUGGCUCAAACUUCAAUCUGACCAUCAGUGAAGAAGGCUGAUGCCGCAGAUGGAGAGAGACACAGGAUGUAUGAAUGUAGCAUAACUCAGGAUUCACCUCGUGUGGUCCUUCCCACUUGAACCCUAUCCUAAGUGUGAAAGUUACCCCAUCGCUUUCCUCUUGCUUCAGAUUAUGUGCUUUAAAGUGAUUUAAUAAACUAUGCGAUUCAAACAUCUUAAUUUGAUCUUUGAGCCUGUUUUGUGACUUCCGGGAUAGCUUGCCUUGUAGUGUACUUGUAGGUCACCAUUGCAUCAAGGUAAUUUCUCAUGACAACUACAAAAAACUUAGAAAAUAAGAACAUAGCAUUGUAUAGCAUAAAGGAAAGCAAUCUGAAGAGGAGAAAGACAGGUAGUCACAAAUUGUGUCAUUAAUAGACUGAAAGACCAAAAAAGUAAAGGACAAACCAAAAGACAGUGUGGAGAAGAUUUUUUUCUAAAUUGAUUUAUAGAAAAAGGAAUGAGACAAGAAAGAAAGACAUGGUUUGGGCAAUGUAUAAAUGUCAUUGAUCCCAAUUCUACUUUAUUUCUGAGACCAAAAUAACAGUUUCAGAGGUGACUACCACAAGGUCCAACAAGUGGACUCAUCCCUGAAUUUCUUCCUCCUCCUCCUUCUUUCUUCUUCCUCCUCCUCCUCUUCUUUCUUUCCUUCUUUCCUUUCCUCUUUCUCUCUCUUUCUUUUUCUUUCUUUCUUCCUUUCUUUCUCUCUCUCUUUCUCUCUAUUUCUUUCUUUCUGUGUCUCUCUCUUUCUUUUUCUUUUUUUCUUUCCUUUUCUUUCUUCUUUUUUUUUUUCCUCAAAAAGAAUCUCUUGCUCUGCUGCCCAGGCUGGAGUACAGUGGUGUGAUCACAGCUCACUAUAAUCUCAAACUCCUGGGCUCAAGUAAUCCUCUCACUUCAGCCUCCCAAGUAGCUAGGACAACAGGUGCACAUCACCACACCCAGCUAAUUUUUUAUUUUAUUUUUUCUAGAGACAGGGGUCUCACUAUGUGAUGCAGGAUGAUCUCAAACUCCCUGGCCUCAAGCGAUCCUCCUGCCUUGGUCUCCUAAAGUGCUGGGAUUACAGCAGGUCACUGUAUCUCUAUGCAUUACAGAAAAUGGCUAGUUAAAAACUUGUCAAGGCCAGUUGCAGGCAUGAUACCAGCAGUCUGGGAGGUAGAGACAAGAGGACACAUCUCUGCUGCUCCCUUCUUUCCCCAUGGUUAUGCGCCAACUUUGGUUUCACCAGGCCUACAGUGCUUCCCAGGUUUGGAGUGUGGGGAAGGAGAAGAUUUAAUGGAAGCAGCUUAAGGGAAAUGCUCAAACUAAACUGAUACUUUCUUCAUGAUCUAGCAUUGAAACUUUCUGGACUUGACAGAUAUUUAAAAUUAACUCUUUUUCUCAUUAACAUUUUCAUGGGUUCUUCCAAGAUCCACAUUACCCAACCUGUGGGUUCCCAUGACAAGGAUUAAGGCAUCUCUGUUUCUUCUGGACCUUUAUUUACCUGGAUUCUUUCUCUAGGGACUGUUUACCCUUAUGGGCCAUCCUUUUGAGCAUAACCUAACAAGAUUCAUGCUGGCUUUAAGUGAGUGGUCCACAUUUGGUUCAUGGGAAAACCACAUAGUUUGUCCCCAGCAAACCUGGAAGUAAUAUUUAUUUUACUGCUGGAAUUAAGGAAAACCAAAAAUCCUAUUACAAAAUGGCUCCUCUAAACAUUCACAUUACCCCUUUUUGUCUCUACCCCCUGAGGAACUAACCAACUCUAGCUCUUUGGAUUUUCCAAAUGAGAGGUCAACACAUCGAUGUCUCCAAGACCUUAAGUUCUUCUAGUGGUCUCUUUAAGCUUCCUCCCUUGAAUUAUGGUGAAAAGGGACUGCCUGCUACCCCCUCCUCUUGAGGAGAGGGGUGGUAUCACAGCCUAACAAUAAUUUCCAAAAAUUUUCUCCUCCAGCUCUAAUGCUUAACCAGUUUAGACUUUCAAAGUGGAUAAUGUAAUUUAAAGCCUUACAGCUAGUUAUGCUCUACUUCUUCUAUAAGUCCUGCAACCAGGUGGUCUCAAUCCUCACUUGCGAAUACUGCAUUUACUCACCUUGUGCCCUAGCCAAAACUUCCACAACAAAUUCUGUGGUGCAUUUAAGUGAAAGAUGUUAUUUGAUUGAUAGAGAGAUAGAUAGAUAGAUACAGAUAUAGAUAUAGAUAUGUAUUAGAACCAUGUCAAAUGGUUAACUUUUUUAAAAAGGUAAAUUUUUUAUAUUGAGAUAAUUAUAGAUUCUCAUACACUCGUAAGAAAUAACACAGAAAGAUCCCAUGUAGCCUUUAUCCAGUUUCCCCAGUGAUAAUAUCUUGCAAAACUAUAGUCCAAUAUCACAACCAAGAUACUGGCAUUGAUAGAUCACUUCCAUCACCACAAACAUCCCUCAUGUUGCCCUUUUAUAGCCACACUCAUUUCCCUCCUGCUGCCACCCUCUCCUUUACCCAUAACCACUUAUC
ensembl:lncRNA METTL14-DT METTL14 divergent transcript